CACGUAGGGCGCAAGCGUUGUCCGGAAUUAUUGGGCGUAAAGAGCUCGUAGGCGGACUGUCACGUCUGCUGUGAAAAGCUAGGGCUUAACCCUGGCCUUGCAGUGGAUACGGGCAGACUAGAGGCAGGUAGGGGAGAAUGGAAUUCCCGGUGUAGCGGUGAAAUGCGCAGAUAUCGGGAGGAACACCGGUGGCGAAGGCGGUUCUCUGGGCCUGACCUGACGCUGAGGAGCGAAAGCGUGGGGAGCGAACAGG
rnacentral:rRNA from 1 species